UACGGGGGGGGCAAGCGUUGUUCGGAAUUACUGGGCGUAAAGGGCUCGUAGGUGGCCAACUAAGUCAGACGUGAAAUCCCUCAGCUUAACUGGGGAACUGCGUCUGAUACUGGAUGGCUGGAGUAUGGGAGAGGAAUGCGGAAUUCCAGGUGUAGCGGUGAAAUGCGUAGAUAUCUGGAGGAACACCGGUGGCGAAGGCGGCAUUCUGGACCAUUACUGACGCUGAGGAGCGAAAGCCAGGGGAGCAAACGGG
rnacentral:rRNA from 1 species